UAGUAAAAUUGUCAUUCAUUUUUAUUGUUAAAAACUGGCAUAACUAACAUAAUAACCAAACAAAGGCACGUGGUGUGCCACGUAUAUUUUAGGUUGACGUAUAGGGACUAGUUUUUAACUGUAAAAAUGGAUGAAAUUUUAAACA
rfam:Gossypium raimondii Chr04_contig_1324, whole genome shotgun sequence.